UUCUGAUUCUCCAGCUCAAAAGAUUCAAGUUCACCUCGACCUUCAGGCUGGAGAAGGUCAACACUCCUGUUCAACUGACCAGGGAGCUUGUGGUGAACCCAGAACACUCCCUCACUGCACAGACAGGGACUCGCUACACUUUGGUGAGCAUCGUGAGUCAUUUGGGCUCCACAGCUCACAGUGGACACUACAUCUGUGACGGUGCUCACCGGCCUCAGGGACCAGGUGACACAGACCGCUGGCUCACCUACAAUGAUGAGCACGUCACCGUGACAACGGGUGAAUCUGUGUGUCACCUGAGGCAGGUAUCAGCAUACCUUCUGUUUUAUGAA